rnacentral:rRNA from 1 species
UACAGAGGGUGCUAGCGUUGUUCGGAAUCAUUGGGCGUAAAGGGCGUGUAGGCGGUUUGUUAAGUCAUGUGUGAAAUCCCCCGGCUCAACCGGGGAACGACGCAUGAAACUGGCAAGCUAGAGUACCAAAGAGGGGGGGUGGAAUUCCUGGUGUAGCGGUGAAACGCGCAGAUAUCAGGAGGAACACCGAUGGCGAAGGCAGGUCUCUGGGCCAUAACUGACGCUGAGA